UAGAUACCCUAUUAUACUAACAGAAACCUAAAUUAUUAAUAGAUAUAUUCUUUAAACUUGAAGAAUUUGGCGGUGGUUUAGUCUUGUUAGAGGAACCUGUUUUUGAAUCGAUACACCACGCAGAAUCUUGCUCAUGUUAGUUAGUUUGUAUACCGUCAUUAUCAGAUAAUUUUGAAAGAAUAAAUUGUUAAAAUUUAGAGGAUAAGGUUAAAUUAAAUUAGAUCAAGGUGCAGCUUAUAAAUGAGUUAAAAUGGGUUACAAUAAAUUUUAUUUAUUAUGAAAUAGUUAGGAGAAAAAGUACUAGGAAGGUGGAUUUAAUUGUAAAGUAAGUU
rnacentral:rRNA from 1 species